rnacentral:rRNA from 1 species
CCUACGGGCGGCAGCAGUGAGGAAUAUUGGUCAAUGGCCGGAAGGCUGAACCAGCCAAGCCGCGUGAAGGACGAAGGUGCCACGCAUUGUAAACUUCUUUUGUCAAGGGACAAAAUCCGGCUCGUGAGCCUGACCGAGGGUACUUGAAGAAAAAGCAUCGGCUAACUCCGUGCCAGCAGCCGCGGUAAUACGGAGGAUGCGAGCGUUAUCCGGAUUUAUUGGGUUUAAAGGGUGCGUAGGCCGCCUUUUAAGUCUGCGGUGAAAGGUUGGGGCUCAACCCUGGAAUUGCCGGUGAAACUGGGGGGCUUGAGUACGUGGGAGGCAGGCGGAAGGCGUGGUGUAGCGGUGAAAUGCUUAGAUAUGACGCAGAACCCCGAUUGCGAAGGCAGCCUGCCAAGCCAUGACUGACGCUGAUGCUCGAAAGCGUGGGGAUCAAACAGGAUUAGAUACCCUUGUAGUC